CGGCGCACGGGUGCGUAACGCGUAUGCAAUCUACCUUUCACAAAGGGAUAGCCCAGAGAAAUUUGGAUUAAUACCUUAUAGUAUAUAUGAAUGGCAUCAUUUAUAUAUUAAAGAUUUAUCGGUGAAAGAUGAGCAUGCGUCCCAUUAGCUAGUUGGUAAGGUAACGGCUUACCAAGGCAACGAUGGGUAGGGGUCCUGAGAGGGAGAUCCCCCACACUGGUACUGAGACACGGACCAGACUCCUACGGGAGGCAGCAGUGAGGAAUAUUGGACAAUGGGCGCAAGCCUGAUCCAGCCAUGCCGCGUGCAGGAUGACGGUCCUAUGGAUUGUAAACUGCUUUUAUACGAGAAGAAACACUCCGACGUGUCGGAGCUUGACGGUAUCGUAAGAAUAAGGAUCGGCUAACUCCGUGCCAGCAGCCGCGGUAAUACGGAGGAUCCAAGCGUUAUCCGGAAUCAUUGGGUUUAAAGGGUCCGUAGGCGGUCAGGUAAGUCAGUGGUGAAAGCCCAUCGCUCAACGGUGGAACGGCCAUUGAUAC
rnacentral:rRNA from 1 species